rnacentral:misc_RNA from 1 species
UCUCCGCUGGUGAACCAGCGGAGGGAUCAUUACCAGAGUUUUACAACUCCCAACCCUUCUGUGAACCUACCUAUCGUUGCUUCGGCGGACUCGCCCCAGCGUCCGGACGGCCCCGCGCCGGAGGACCCAAACUCUUGUUUAAACCAUAGUGGCAUAUUCUGAGUCUCACAAGAAAAAUGAAUCAAAACUUUCGACAACGGAUCUCUUGGCUCUG